CUCGCCCUCCUCGCUCUCCUUGCAGAUCUCUACCCCUGCGGGCGGCUGCGGGCCUCCUGCCCGAGGUCAGCGCGCCCUCUGGGCAUUUCCAUGGACUGGGUUGAGGGCUGGCCGGCCGUGGGCUUCCAAUCCCUGUUUCCUCAGAGUUUGGAACCUUCUGGGAGGGCUGCUCUGGACUCUCCUCCUCCCCACACCUGACUAUUGCUGGUUGAAGCACAGCAUGCAGGCCAGCUGUAAGGACAAUGACGAAGUCACCAUAGUCACUAAUCAAAUAUUCCUGGCGGAAGUUUUGUAGCUGGGCAAGCACAGGGCCUUGUAGGACUACAGGAUGCACCCAUCAGACGAGAAGAAGGAACAGUUUUUCUACCUAUACAGUUGGUAACGCAGAUGGGACCUUCACUGGCUGGACAGUGCUGACUCCAGGGCUCCUUCAGCUGAGAAGUCCUAGGACUGCUGAGAAAAGCCUGCAGAAGGGUGAAGGUAACUGGCAGAAGAUAACAUCAGAGAAGAGCAAAGGAAAUGAGUUCCUGAAACCCAGGUAAAAAAUCUAAGAAUUUAAACUCUAAGAAGACUGCACAGAGCUGAAGAUACAGCAGCCAUCUCUGCCAGAAGGGCAAGCUUCCCUGGACACCGUCGCUGGGAAGAGGAUCCCAUCAGGUCUUCAAAACUUGUCUUUGCUGCACUCAGAAGAGGGUUCUGGUCUUCUCAGACCCCCUGGGAUCUAGAGAUCCCAGCUUCAUGUUUGACCAGUGAUGGGAACUGCUAAUGACCCCAGCUCCUUCCUAAAGGGUGAGCCUAAGGUCAGUGUCACAGGAUAAGUUUCCUAAGUGGAUGAUUCCCUUAAGGUCCAGGCUUUAGGCUCUGUGAUGUUAUGCUUCCCAUAGAGAAAAUGUGCCAAUUUAAACUCACCUGGGAGUUCCUGUUGUUGCACAGUGGAAACAAAUUCGACUAGCAUCCA